GACGAACGCUGGCGGCGUGCUUAACACAUGCAAGUCGAACGAAGAGCGAUGGAAGCUUGCUUCUAUCAAUCUUAGUGGCGAACGGGUGAGUAACGCGUAAUCAACCUGCCCUUCAGAGGGGGACAACAGUUGGAAACGACUGCUAAUACCGCAUACGAUCUAACCUCGGCAUCGAGGAAAGAUGAAAGGUGGCCUCUAUGUAUAAGCUAUCACUGAAGGAGGGGAUUGCGUCUGAUUAGCUAGUUGGAGGGGUAACGGCCCACCAAGGCGAUGAUCAGUAGCCGGUCUGAGAGGAUGAACGGCCACAUUGGGACUGAGACACGGCCCAGACUCCUACGGGAGGCAGCAGUGGGGAAUCUUCCGCAAUGGACGAAAGUCUGACGGAGCAACGCCGCGUAAGUGAUGACGGCCUUCGGGUUGUAAAGCUCUGUUAAUCGGGACGAAAGGCCUUCUUGCGAAUAG
rnacentral:rRNA from 1 species